GUAGGUGGCAAGCGUUGUCCGGAAUUAUUGGGCGUAAAGCGCGCGCAGGCGGUCCUUUAAGUCUGAUGUGAAAGCCCACGGCUCAACCGUGGAGGGUCAUUGGAAACUGGGGGACUUGAGUACAGAAGAGGAAAGCGGGAUUCCAAGUGUAGCGGUGAAAUGCGUAGAGAUUUGGAGGAACACCAGUGGCGAAGGCGGCUUUCUGGUCUGUAACUGACGCUGAGGCGCGAAAGCGUGGGGAGCAAACAGGAUUAGAUACCCUGGUAGUCCACGCCGUAAACGAUGAGUGCUAAGUGUUAGGGGGUUUCCCGCCCCCCUUAGUGCUGCAGCUAACGCAUUAAGCACUCCGCCUGGGGAGUACGGCCGCAAGGCUG
rnacentral:rRNA from 1 species